AGACAGAUGGCCUUCAUAAAGAGGUGGCCACUAAGACAGGUUGACGAUACAUGUACUGUCAAUAAUGAUACUUUUCAAUCACACAUGACCAAUGCGCCGGUCCGAAAACUAGAUGGGCACUGGUUUUCAGAAAAUGAGACGCAUGAAAUUGUAAUA